rnacentral:rRNA from 1 species
ACGACUCUCGGCAACGGAUAUCUCGGCUCUCGCAUCGAUGAAGAACGUAGCAAAAUGCGAUACCUGGUGUGAAUUGCAGAAUCCCGCGAACCAUCGAGUUUUUGAACGCAAGUUGCGCCCRAGGCCUUCUGGUUGAGGGCACGCCUGCCUGGGCGUCA